rnacentral:lncRNA from 1 species
AGAGAGAGGUUAGAGAGAAAAAAGUUAGAGAGAGGUUUGAGGGAUAAGUGAAGUUCCCAAACAAAAACAUUUAUAGUGACUAAAACAAAAUAUCUCUAUAAUUAUAAAGAUUAAAAAUAUAUUUAAUUUUUUUUUUAUCAAACAAGAAAAGAACAUGGAAAAGCAUCAACAUGAAGAAUUUGACAUCCCACUAUAUUUGUAUCUCAUAUAAGCACAAUCAUCUCCACCACUCUCAGAAAAGGAUGGUAUAUAUGUAGUUUGUUUUAAGUAAUCAUAUACGAAUGAUUUUUUUUCUUUACAAUGUUAUUGUUUAAAAUUUAAAAUAAUCCACAAAUUUAUGAACGCUAAAUAGUCACUUGAGUUAAACCAAUUAAUCAAUGGAGGCUCACUCUCCAUUCAAGAGAAAUGUGAAUGGAAUUGUAUAAAAAAUCUAACCUAUGACAAUAUUGAAACAUAGUAUUAGAGUUUAUUGUUUUUUCAACUUUUUUUUUUGACAAACAAUAUUUUUUCAACUUAAACAUCACAAAUAUUAGAAUCAGAUUUAAAAUUCUUUAGUGAUAGGAUUAAAAUGAAGGCCAUGGUGAAACAUAAAAUCAAGAUAGAAGACAAUUUAACUAUAAUAUUUAGUGUCUUAUUUCUUUUAUGUUUACAAUACAAAGCUAUAGUUUAAAGGUAAAUUUACGAACUGAAAGAUAAAAAUAAAAUUAUUCAGUGGUAACACAAUUAUUGAAGAGAUUAUCUACUCUCUUGAAUUUGAUACCCACUCUU